rnacentral:rRNA from 1 species
GACGAACGCUGGCGGCGUGCUUAACACAUGCAAGUCGAACGGAAAGGCCCUGCUUGCCGGGUACUCGAGUGGCGAACGGGUGAGUAACACGUGGGUGAUCUGCCCUGCACUUCGGGAUAAGCUUGGGAAACUGGGUCUAAUACCGGAUAGGAGCCAUCUUUAGUGUGGUGGUUGGAAAGUUUUUUCGGUGUAGGAUGAGCUCGCGGCCUAUCAGCUUGUUGGUGGGGUAAUGGCCUACCAAGGCGGCGACGGGUAGCCGGCCUGAGAGGGUGUACGGCCACAUUGGGACUGAGAGACGGCCCAGACUCCUACGGGAGGCAGCAGUGGGGAAUAUUGCACAAUGGGCGCAAGCCUGAUGCAGCGACGCCGCGUGGGGGAUGAAGGCCUUCGGGUUGUAAACUCCUUUCGCUAGGGACGAAGCUUUUUUGUGACGGUACCUAGAUAAGAAGCACCGGCUAACUACGUG